GUGUCAGCCGCCGCGGUAAUACGAAGGGGGCUAGCGUUGUUCUGAUUUAUUGGGCGUAAAGAGCUCGUAGGCGGUUUCGUAAGUCGGGUGUGAAAACUUCAGGCUCAACCUGGAGACGCCACCCGAUACUUCGAUGACUAGAGUCCGGUAGGGGAGUGUGGAAUUCCUGGUGUAGCGGUGAAAUGCGCAGAUAUCAGGAGGAACACCAACGGCGAAGGCAGCACUCUGUGCCGGAACUGACGCUGAGGAGCGAAAGCGUGGGUAGCGAACAGGAUUAGAUACCCUGGUAGUCC
rnacentral:rRNA from 1 species